AACGGAGGGGAAAUCUCUGAAGGUCUGAAAGGUGGGUUGGGUCUGGCACAGCUAGACACAAUCUCCCCAAUGGCUGCUACAGCAGAAGCACAGUGGUAGACAGCCCAGGAACUGCAGAUCUGGGGUUACUGUUUUAUUCAUCUCCCUAGAGGCCAAGAAAUAUUCAGACAAAUGAGGCUGUCCAUUUUAAGGAUUGGAAGGAAGUCUGAAGUCCCUCUGGACCCGCAACCUCACAUGUUUUAAGCUCCCCUGUGCCUCUUGUGUCCUCACAGCUAUCUCCAGGUAAAUAUUUGUUAAUCAAUGUUCUUUGUCUAAAUGAGGCUUCUUACUCAACGGUUUCACAGCUAAUUAAACCACAUAACAACAACGAGGGGAUUUAAUCUUUUUCUACAUAUUGCUGUUUAGUUUCUGUAAAAUGCUUCUUAAAGGGAUGGACUUAGUGUGCUGAGGCUUAACCUGGUCUUAAGGAAAGGA
rnacentral:lncRNA from 1 species